rnacentral:rRNA from 1 species
UGGGGAAUUUUGGACAAUGGGGGAAACCCUGAUCCAGCCAUCCCGCGUGUGCGAUGAAGGCCUUCGGGUUGUAAAGCACUUUUGGCAGGAAAGAAACGUCGCGGGUUAAUACCCCGCGAAACUGACGGUACCUGCAGAAUAAGCACCGGCUAACUACGUGCCAGCAGCCGCGGUAAUACGUAGGGUGCAAGCGUUAAUCGGAAUUACUGGGCGUAAAGCGUGCGCAGGCGGUUCGGAAAGAAAGAUGUGAAAUCCCAGAGCUUAACUUUGGAACUGCAUUUUUAACUACCGGGCUAGAGUGUGUCAGAGGGAGGUGGAAUUCCGCGUGUAGCAGUGAAAUGCGCAGAUAUGCGGAGGAACACCGAUGGCGAAGGCAGCCUCCUGGGAUAACACUGACGCUCAUGCACGAAAGCGUGGGGAGCAAACAGGAUUAGAUACCCUGGUAGUCCACGCCCUAAACGAUGUCAACUAGCUGUUGGGGCCUUCGGGCCUUGGUAGCGCAGCUAACGCGUGAAGUUGACCGCCUGGGGAGUACGGUCGCAAGAUUAAAACUUAAAGGAAUUGACGGGGGUGCAUAGCU